rnacentral:rRNA from 1 species
GGAGGAAAGUAGGGGAUCGAAAGACCUUAUGCUUUUGGAGCGGCCGAUGUCUGAUUAGCUAGUUGGUAGGGUAAUGGCUUACCAAGGCGACGAUCAGUAGUUGGUCUGAGAGGACGACCAGCCACACUGGGACUGAGACACGGCCCAGACUCCUACGGGAGGCAGCAGUGGGGAAUUUUGGACAAUGGGCGCAAGCCUGAUCCAGCAAUGCCGCGUGAGUGAAGAAGGCCUUCGGGUUGUAAAGCUCUUUCAGUUGAAAAGAAAAAGCCGUGACUAAUAAUCAUGGUUCAUGACGGUAUCAACAGAAGAAGCACCGGCUAACUACGUGCCAGCAGCCGCGGUAAUACGUAGGGUGCAAGCGUUAAUCGGAAUUACUGGGCGUAAAGGGUGCGCAGGCGGUUCUGUAAGUCAGAUGUGAAAUCCCCGGGCUUAACCUGGGAACUGCGUUUGAAACUACAAAGCUAGA